GGGGGUUCGGGUGGGCCGGGCUUUAAAUGGGAGGGGGCCGGAGGUUGGGCAGGGCGCUCCCUGGGGGGAAAAGGACCGGCCGCGGCCUCCCGGCGGGGGGCGCGGACAGAGAGACCCCCGGCCGGUGGGGAGGGAGGAGGCGGUCCAGGGAGGGGGGUCCUUCGGCCAUCUGUUGGGACCCUCGGCCUCGCGGUGGCCACGGCGGUCCCCAGGUCUGACCCUGCCUUAAGGCCCUGCCCCCUUCCCCUUCCUUUGUCCCUUCCUGGCCCCCUCCCCCCUCCCAUUCCCCUUCCUUCCCCCUGCUUCCCGGCCGGCCGUCCGUCCUCUGGGUCGUCCCCCUCCUCCCUCUGCCCCCUGCCCUCUCCUCUCUUUGGCCAUUCCCCUUCCUUCCCCCUGCUUCCCGGCCGGCUGUCCUUUGGGUCGUCCCCCUCCUCCCUCUGCCCCCUGCCCUCUUCCCACUUCCCUUCCUUGCCCCUGCUUCCCGGCCGGCUGUCCUUUGGGCCCCCUGCCCUCUCCCCUCUUCCAUUUCCCUCUGGCCCUCCUCUCCUCCUCUCCUCCUCUCCUCCCCUCUCCCUGCCCCAGUCCCUCCCAGGGGUUGGGGCCGGGGGAGUUUUCUUUCUCCUCUUCCCCAGCCACACUCGCACACAGGCAGACAGAAGGACGGCCCGUCCCAGAGGGACGGAGGGACGGAGGGACAGAGAGACACAGCCCCUGGCCCCCCGCCCCCGCCGGGCGCUGCCUUAUAAAGUGCGGGGCGGGCGGAUUUCCUGGGCGGGCCGGCAGCCCCCUUCUCCGGCCCUGAGCGGGCAGCGGCGGCCGGCCGGGCUCGGGGAGCGUGGUGCCCGCUGCCCGCUGCCCUGCAGGGUGAGUGGGGGGUCGGGGGAAGGGGUCGGGGAAGAGGGGAGCGGGGCGUCCCGAUCCACGUGGCAGCGGCGCGCUCGGCCGGGAAAGCCGGCCGGGGGUGGGGACAGCGGGAUGGGCCCGGGGCGGGAGGGGACCGGCCGGCCCCUGGCCGGAGAGGACUUGGGGGAGCCGGGCCGGAGACCCCUGGAGGGAGGGAAGGGGGGACAAGUCCCUCUCCGUCCCUCAGGAGCUGCAGAGAGAGGGGUUUGGGUCAUGGCUCCUUCUCCCCGCCUCUCCCUCUGCCCACUCUGUGCUUCGCCCCCCGUGGCGGGGCCGCUCACCCAACCCCCGUUCGCCGUCGGCCGGCCGGUGCCCCUCCCGGGCAGCUUCCCUCCCCUCCCCGACCCACGAGCCCCCGCCACCGUGCAGGCCGGUCCGUCGAAGGCGGACCUCCCGGUGACCCCGUGCCCCGUGCCGCGCUGGCCUUGGUCGCCCUCCUUGGGAGGGCGGGUCGGGCGCCGAAUCCGAAUUUACCUGGGGCGUCCGGUGGGCCGGCCAGGGACCCGGGUGGUCCCGGGGGGCCCUCGCCCGCCGAAGGGUGCCCGGCCGCUUGACCUCCCCUUC
rnacentral:lncRNA from 1 species